CAUCUGCAGACAAUGACUGAUAUGUUUUUUGAUGCAGAUGUUUAAAAUGAUGCUUUUGAAGGAAAAAUAUCCAAGCUAAAUGAGGUUUGCUGAGAAAAGUGUUUGUCUCACAUGGAAAAGCCAUUGUCUAAGAUUAUACAUAUUAAGCACCAGUGUUCAGACAUAGGUUAAUUUCCUAGAUAGACGAUUGAGGACCAAUAGUGUCAACGGAAAAAAAUCUACGCCAUGAAUACUGCUUUAAUCAAUACUGGUUUAGAAAUGAUAAUGAAACUCUGGUACAUUUUUUAUUGAUCGUGUGGUUUUCAUGUAUUCUCCCAAAAAUGAAGAUAUGAGAGAAUUAAUACACUUUUUACGUGAACAUGUACGUGUAAAUUCAGUAGCAUUGAAAGUUGGGUUAUACAAUGUACAUAUUUUGCUGUUUUAAUGUUCCUAAACGAUCAUAUUGCCUUGUUCAUAUUAAUAUUUAAAUGUUUUAGUAAUACUCAAUAAAAAGUCAGAGUCUAAUGUAAUGUCUUGAUUACUUUCAUAAUCAUUGAUAUUCAUUUUUUUUAAUGUAUCAACAUCACUACGUCAAAAAAUACAUGCGCGGAUCCAAAAAGAAUUCCAGGGGGGUCAGACGGUUAUUUGAGUUUGUCGGGGGGGGGGGGGGGGGGAGGGUCCGAGGCAUAUUUUUGGUAAUUUUAUAAUGCAAUUUAAAGAAAUUUUAAUUUUGCAAGGGGGGGCGGGGGGUUCAGACCCCCCUGACCUCCCUCUAGAUCUUAGCAUGAAAUAAGCUUAGCUAAUGCAUGAUCUUGUUUUUGUAUAUGCCUUGCAAUAUUAUGUAGAAAUAAUCAAUGUGAUUGAGCAUUUUGGUGUGAAUAAUUGCAUGAAUUGUUAUAUCAUAAUCUGUAAUUUCACCAUUAAAACUAGUGCUCUACUC
rnacentral:sRNA from 1 species